rnacentral:lncRNA from 1 species
UUUGUUUUAAUUGGUUUAAAAAUACUUUUCUGCAUUUUAAAAUUCUGAAAAUUUAAUUAUAUUUCUCUUAUUUUAUUUUUAACCUUCCCUAAUUUUCUUGGCCAUUUAUUUGGUGUUUUGAAGGGCUUUGUGGAUUUUCUCUUUUAUUUCCUUUUAAAAUUCAUUUUAAAAAUAUUUUUGAUGCAUUUUUUUAUAUCUUUUUG